rnacentral:rRNA from 1 species
UAGUGAGUUUGAUCCUGUCUCAGGAUGAACGCUGGCGGUCUGCUUAACACAUGCAAGUCGAACGGGCUCUUCGGAGCUAGUGGCGUACGGGUGAGUAACGCGUGAGAAUCUGCCCUCAGGUCGGGGAUAACAGUUCGAAAGAGCUGCUAAUACCGGAUGUGCCGACAAGGUUAAAACGAUUUAUUGGCCUGGGGGAUGAGCUCGCGUCCGAUUAGCUAGUUGGUGGGGUAAUGGCUCACCAAGGCGACGAUCGGUAGCUGGUCUGAGAGGACGAUCAGCCACGACUGGGACUG